AACGAACGCUGGCGGCAUGCCUAACACAUGCAAGUCGAACGAGACCUUCGGGUCUAGUGGCGCACGGGUGCGUAACGCGUGGGAACCUGCCCUUAGGUUCGGAAUAACUCCCCGAAAGGGGUGCUAAUACCGGAUAAUGUCUUCGGACCAAAGAUUUAUCGCGUUUGGAUGGGCCCGCGUUGGAUUAGCUAGUUGGUAGGGUAAAAGCCUACCAAGGCGACGAUCCAUAGCUGGUCGGAGAGGAUGAUCAGCCACACUGGGACUGAGACACGGCCCAGACUCCUACGGGAGGGAGCAGUGGGGAAUAUUGGACAAUGGGCGAAAGCCUGAUCCAGCAAUGCCGGGUGAGUGAUGAAGGCCUUAGGGUUGUAAAGCUCUUUUACCCGAGAUGAUAAUGACAGUACCGGGAGAAUAAGCACCGGCUAACUACGUG
rnacentral:rRNA from 1 species